GAUGGACGCUGGCGGCGUGCCUAAUACAUGCAAGUCGAGCGAACAGACGAGGAGCUUGCUCCUCUGACGUUAGCGGCGGACGGGUGAGUAACACGUGGAUAACCUACCUAUAAGACUGGGAUAACUUCGGGAAACCGGAGCUAAUACCGGAUAAUAUAUUGAACCGCAUGGUUCAAUAGUGAAAGACGGUUUUGCUGUCACUUAUAGAUGGAUCCGCGCCGCAUUAGCUAGUUGGUAAGGUAACGGCUUACCAAGGCAACGAUGCGUAGCCGACCUGAGAGGGUGAUCGGCCACACUGGAACUGAGACACGGUCUAGACUCCUACGGGAGGCAGCAGUAGGGAAUCUUCCGCAAUGGGCGAAAGCUUGACGGAGCAACGCCGCGUGAGUGAUGAAGGUCUUCGGAUCGUAAAACUCUGUUAUUAGGGAAGAACAAAUGUGUAAGUAACUAUGCACGUCUUGACGGUACCUAAUCAGAAAGCCACGGCUAACUACGUG
rnacentral:rRNA from 1 species